rnacentral:rRNA from 1 species
UACGAAGGGGGCUAGCGUUGCUCGGAAUUACUGGGCGUAAAGGGCGCGUAGGCGGCACUGUUAGUCAGGCGUGAAAUUCCUGGGCUCAACCUGGGGACUGCGCUUGAUACGGCAGAGCUAGAGGAUGGAAGAGGCUCGCGGAAUUCCCAGUGUAGAGGUGAAAUUCGUAGAUAUUGGGAAGAACACCGGUGGCGAAGGCGGCCUGCUGGGCAGUUGCUGACACUGAGGCGCGACAGCGUGGGGAGCAAACAGG